UCAGCUUUGGGUGCUGACGGUGGG
rnacentral:piRNA from 1 species